GUUAGUAGAAAAUCUGAAUUUCCAUGUGAAUGGCAGCCUGUGUGUUCUGGUCACGAGCAGCCACAUUAGUUACUUGAAUCUCGUCCUAGACAUCAUGUUUGCUCGUUUUGGUUUUGUCGGACUGCUUGUAACCAUCUGCAUUUCCCCAGCCUCUUAUGUUGGUUAGAAGUGGAGAAAGUUUUUUUUUUUAAUGUAUAUGGGUAUUUGCUUGUGUACCAUGUAUGUACCUGGAGCCCACAGAAAAGGGGGUCAGUAUCUGGAGUUCUAGAUGAUUGUGAUCUACCAUGGAGUUGCUGGGAAUUGAACCUGGGUGCUUUUGCAAGAAAAGAGUGCUCUUAACUGCUGAGCCAUCUCUCCAGCCCAGGAUAAAUAGUAAGACGUUCUUCUGUUUCUAAGGCCAAACAAAGCGGAGAUAAAGUUUUGCUAGAUACUUUUUAAUGUCAGAUUAGUCUCUAAGCCAAACAGAGGAGUGAUGCUAAGGAAGGUCCUAGGGGUCUUUAUAGGACCUAUCAGGGUCUCACUUCUCUUUAUUGCUUUUCAGUGUUGACAUGGUGGCCUGAUCCCUCAGGUUACCAGCUGCCACUAGCGAGGUUCUCAGUGAUUUUAAUAAAUCAGUUCUUGAAACUGUCAGUGGUGUCUAGGCUCUUACGGCAAGGCUGACGUCUCUAUGCAAGCCCAGGGCAGAGCACUGGCCAGAUGGGUAGUGCCUCUGCUUCCAGCCAUCAGCCGAACUUCACAUGGCAACUGUAGCAGGCCUUCACCUAGUGGGAACCUUGUGGAGGACUGAGAUGGUCUGUGGGGCUCUGGGUUCCAUUCUCAGCACAAAC
rnacentral:lncRNA from 1 species